rnacentral:tRNA from 1 species
GGGAGUUCGGGGUGGUGCGGGGCGUGGACUUCAA